GAUGAACGCUGGCGGCGUGCCUAAUACAUGCAAGUCGAGCGAACAGACGAGGAGCUUGCUCCUCUGACGUUAGCGGCGGACGGGUGAGUAACACGUGGAUAACCUACCUAUAAGACUGGGAUAACUUCGGGAAACCGGAGCUAAUACCGGAUAAUAUAUUGAACCGCAUGGUUCAAUAGUGAAAGACGGUUUUGCUGUCACUUAUAGAUGGAUCCGCGCCGCAUUAGCUAGUUGGUAAGGUAACGGCUUACCAAGGCGACGAUGCGUAGCCGACCUGAGAGGGUGAUCGGCCACACUGGAAAUGAGACACGGUCCAGACUCCUACGGGAGGCAGCAGUAGGGAAUCUUCCGCAAUGGGCGAAAGCCUGACGGAGCAACGCCGCGUGAGUGAUGAAGGUCUGCGGAUCGUAAAACUCUGUUAUUAGGGAAGAACAAAUGUGUAAGUAACUAUGCACGUCUUGACGGUACCUAAUCAGAAAGCCACGGCUAACUACGU
rnacentral:rRNA from 1 species